AGCUAUAUUAAGAUAAAGGAAAGCCGUGUUUUUAACAAUGCAGCUAUAAAAGGUUUUGACUAAAACAAGAAAAAUUUAGAUAAAAUUUUUCUAACAGGCUAACUAAAAAAGAAGAAGAAGAAGAAGGAGGAGGAGGAGGAGAAGAAGAAGAAGAAGAAGAAAGAAAAGAAAAAAAAAGAAAAAAGAAAAGUUUCCAGGUGGGAACCCUAAACCAAUGAUCAAAAAAACCCUUCUUUUCUCCUGUGGGAUCCCACUGUGAAAAAAUUAUUUACUUGUUCCUUAGAUCUGAAAAACACAAACAGUGGAGCUUAUCCAGUGUGAGGGAAGCCGGUUUGGGCGUUUCAAUAUGUUCCCUAUAGGACCGGGUCUAGGGAUUAGGGUGCUACUGUCUUAUUUGACUUGUUCUAUCUGUGGUGUUCAUGUAGAGACCCAGACCUCAACAUACGAAUCAUACGUGAAAAGACCACAGCUUAGUUACAGCUGGCUGCUUGGCUGGAUGGCUGUCAACACAGAGCCUGGAAUCUGAGGUCCGGCCACCGCUGGGAGUUUGCACGGAAGCGGGACAAUUUUGAGUGGGAGGGAGUCGCCAACGCCCCACAAAGUGCUGCCUUCUCUCGGAACCGCUCGCCCGGGCCCCGCAGGCUCCAGGCCGCCAGCUCGGGGCCUUGGCCCGUCGCGCAGAGGACGCGGCCAAGGCAGCGGGGGGGGAACACUGGGGCGGCCAGAGCCCCGCAGCGCCAGCGGAGGCGCAGACUCCCCAGUCGCCCGCCUCUCCCAGCCCCGCGGCCUGGGCCGUCAAUCAAGCUCGGCCGGCCCCGCCCCUGGGCUGCAGCGGGUGGCCAAUCAGAGCCAAGCUCCGCAGCGAUGAGCUCAGUCGGCUCGCUUCCCAUUGGGCGGCUAUAUUAAGAAAGUGGCUGAACUCUUUAAAUAGCGGGCGCUAGGGCCGCAGCCUGCAUCUGCCACCGCAGUCUGGCUGUAGUCGAGUGCUCCCCUGUUCCCUGGGCGAAAUCUAUACAAACCGGGGAGGGGACUAGGCCGGCUCUGCUGUUGCAGCCACCGUUUGCGCACAAAGGCGCGGGCCCCGGGCCCGGGGCGAGAAGAGCGGCCACCGCCCGGGAGCAGCGCGGAGACGCCCGGCGCGCCCUAUGCCCCCGCGCCCCCGCCGCGGCAGCCUGAGCGCACCGAGAGAACGCGCCACCGCGGGGCCCGGGUGCAGCUAGCGACCCUCGCCCCCGAGCGCGCAGCCCGAGGUGAGCGGCGAGCGGGACGGCAGCGAGGCGUUCGCGGGCCCCCUCCUGC
rnacentral:lncRNA from 1 species